rnacentral:rRNA from 1 species
GCGAAUCCGCGCGGACUGCGAGUGCGGCACCCGAGUAGCGCCGGGCACGUGAAACCCGGUGCGAACCUGGGGGGACCACCCUCCAAGGCUGAACACUCUCCUGUGACCGAUAGCGAACCAGUACCGUGAGGGAAAGGUGAAAAGCACCCCGAGAGGGGAGUGAAACAGUACCUGAAACCGUGCGCCUACAAGCAGUCGGAGCCCCCGAGCGGGGUGACGGCGUGCCUUUUGUAGAAUGAGCCAGCGAGUUGCGGUAUGCGGCGAGGUUAAGGUUUGAACCGAGCCGCAGUGAAAGCGAGCCUUUAAGAUGGCGUAUGAGUCGCAUGCUGCAGACGCGAAGCCGGGUGAGCUAUCCAUGGGCAGGCUGAAGCGGGGGUAAGACCCCGUGGAGGGCCGAACCCACUUCGGUUGAAAACGGAGGGGAUGACCCGUGGAUAGGGGUGAAAGGCCAAUCAAACCCGGAGAUAUCUCGUUCUCCCCGAAAUAGCUUUAGGGCUAGCCUCGGCCGUUCUCCGACGGCGGUAGAGCACUGGAUCGUCGAGGGGGCUUCACCGCCUACCGACACGAACCAAACUCCGAAUGCCGCCGGAUCAGAGGCCGGGAGUCAGAACAUGUGGGCUAAGCUGUGUGUUCGAGAGGGAAACAGCCCAGACCGCCCGCUAAGGUCCCCAAGUUUAUGCUGAGUGGCAAAGGAUGUGCGUUUGCCUAGACAACCAGGAUGUUGGCUUAGAAGCAGCCAUGCAUUUAAAGAGUGCGUAACAGCUCACUGGUCAAGUGGACAUGCGCCGACAAUUCACGGGGCUAAGCAUAACACCGAAGCGGCGGACUAAUCUAUAUUAGUGGUAGGGGAGCUUUCCCCGCAGCGGAGAAGCCGAGAGGGCGACCCUCGGUGGAGCGCGGGGAAGUGAGAAUGCUGGCAUGAGUAACGAGAGCGGCGCGAGAAACGCCGCCGCCGUAAGCCUAAGGGUUCCUGGGCAAGGCUAAUCCUCCCUGGGUCAGUCGGGAGCUAAGGCGAGGCCGAGAGGCGUAGCCGAUGCGCAACAGGCGGACAUUCCUGUACCGCCUGCGGACCGCUAUCACCGACGGGGUGACGGAGAAGGGUAGCCGAGCGGGGUUCUGGACGUCCCCGUGAAAGCGCGUAGGGCGCGGAGCAUGGAAAUCAGCUCCGCAGAAAGCCUGAGACGCGAGACGAAAGCUUAUGCUGAAGUCGGCGAGCCCAUGCUUCCGAGAAAAACCUCUAGGAAGGGACGCAGGCGCCCGUACCAAAACCGACACAGGUGGGCAGGUAGAGCAUACCGAGGCGAUCGGGAGAACCAUGGUUAAGGAACUCGGCAUACUGACUCCGUAACUUCGGGAGAAGGAGUGCCCCUGGCGGUGACGGGACUUGCUCCCCGAGCGGCCGGGGGUCGCAGCGAAACGGCCCAAGCGACUGUUUAUCAAAAACACAGGACUCUGCAAAGCCGUAAGGCGACGUAUAGGGUCUGACGCCUGCCCGGUGCUGGAAGGUUACGCGGAUGGGUCAGCCGAAAGGCGAAGCUCUGAAGCCAAGCCCCAGUAAACGGC